CAAAGCCAGCAACAUGAGUGGAACUCAGGAGAGUCCUGGUCCCAAUGACGACACUGAUCCUGAGCCUCGUGUGGUCCAGAAGGCCUUCAGUACAACAACAACAACCACCACAGAAAGCCCCACAGCAGCACAACUAGCUGACCCAGAGAGAGAGGUCACAGAAAGCCCCACGGCAGCACAACUAGCUGACCCAGAGAGAGAGGUCACAGAAAGCCCCACGGCAGCACAACUAGCUGACCCAGAGAGAGAGGUCACAGAAAGCCCCACGGCAGCACAACUAGCUGACCCAGAGAGAGAGGUCACAGAAAGCCCCACGGCAGCACAACUAGCUGACCCAGAGAGAGAGGUCACAGAAAGCCCCACGGCAGCACAACUAGCUGACCCAGAGAGAGAGGUCACAGAAAGCCCCACGGCAGCACAACUAGCUGACCCAGAGAGAGAGGUCACAGAAAGCCCCACGGCAGCACAACUAGCUGACCCAGAGAGAGAGGUCACAGAAAGCCCCACAGCAGCACAACUAGCUGACCCAGAGAGAGAGGUCACAGAAA